ACGAACGCCGGCGGCGUGCUUAACACAUGCAAGUCGAACGGAAAGGCCCUGCUUUUGUGGGGUGCUCGAGUGGCGAACGGGUGAGUAACACGUGAGUAACCUGCCCUUGACUUUGGGAUAACUUCAGGAAACUGGGGCUAAUACCGGAUAGGAGCUCCUGCUGCAUGGUGGGGGUUGGAAAGUUUCGGCGGUUGGGGAUGGACUCGCGGCUUAUCAGCUUGUUGGUGGGGUAGUGGCUUACCAAGGCUUUGACGGGUAGCCGGCCCGAGAGGGUGACCGGCCACAUUGGGACUGAGAUACGGCCCAGACUCCUACGGGAGGCAGCAGUGGGGAAUAUUGCACAAUGGGCGGAAGCCUGAUGCAGCAACGCCGCGUGCGGGAUGACGGCCUUCGGGUUGUAAACCGCUUUCGCCUGUGACGAAGCGUGAGUGACGGUAAUGGGUAAAGAAGCACCGGCUAACUACGUG
rnacentral:rRNA from 1 species